UACGUAGGGUGCGAGCGUUGUCCGGAAUUAUUGGGCGUAAAGGGCUCGUAGGCGGUUUGUCGCGUCGGGAGUGAAAUCCACUGGCUUAACUGGUGGCUUGCUUUCGAUACGGGCAGACUGGAGGUAUGCAGGGGAGAACGGAAUUCCUGGUGUAGCGGUGAAAUGCGCAGAUAUCAGGAGGAACACCGGUGGCGAAGGCGGCAUCCUGGACCGACACUGACACUGAGGAGCGAAAGCCAGGGGAGCAAACGGG
rnacentral:rRNA from 1 species